GAUUGCUCUUUGUACUUUGACCAUGAACAUCAAAAAAAGACUCAUUUGAUACAUUUUUUAUAACUUAGGAAUCAAAGGUUUACAUUUUUAAAAGCGGGGACUAAACUGAACAUCCACUCAUAACUUAGGGACCAAAAAGAGGUUUAAACCAAAUCUUUAUGUGUUACCAUCCACAUACAAACCUAUAUAAAACUCAAUCUCAUAACAAUCCUAGAAUGAAAUCCAAAUACAUAUACAAGGAACAAAAUAAUCAAUGUACUUCCAACUAUUUACACAUCAAAUAAUAGUUCCUAAACUUAAUGUAUGAUGAAUACAUAUUUACCUAACAUUAUCUAUAAAAACUUAAAAGAAAUGCAGUUUACUACUCCCGAACAUCCAUUAAGACCUCUUGCUCCAUUAAAG
rnacentral:lncRNA from 1 species